UGCUGUGAGGCAUUGUGGGAAGUGAUACUAAUUGCCCUGUGGUCUUAACCAUACAACACCCA
rnacentral:rRNA from 1 species